rnacentral:rRNA from 1 species
GAGCCGGCUGCCUUCGGGUGAAACGUGGACAGGUGCUGCAUGGCUGUCGUCAGCUCGUGCUGUGAAGUGUCGGGUUAAGUCCCUUAACGAGCGAAACCCUUGUCGCUAGUUGCCAGCGGGUCAUGCCGGGAACUCUAGCGAGACUGCCGGCGUUAAGCCGGAGGAAGGUGGGGACGACGUCAAGUCAUCAUGGCCUUUAUGCCCAGGGUGUCACACGUGCUACAAUGGGGUGUACAGAGCGACGCAAGACCGUAAGGUGGAGCAAAUCGCAGAAAACAUCCCUCAGUUCGGAUUGAGGUCUGCAACCCGACCUCAUGAAGCCGGAAUCGCUAGUAAUCGCGCAUCAGCCAUGGCGCGGUGAAUGAGUUCCUGAGCCUUGUACACACCGCCCGUCAAGUCAUGGGAGCUGGGAGUUCCCGAAGUCGCAACGAUUCGGUUGUGCCGACGGAAAGCCCGGUGACUGGGACUAAGUCGUAACAAGGUAGCCCGUAGGGGAACCC